CCCUUAGAUGUUCGGGGCCGCACGCGCGCUACACUGAUGAAAUCAACUGGUUUUAUCGUCCUGGUCCGGCAGGAUUGGGUAAUCCGUUGAACUUUCGUCGUGCUUGGGAUCGGAGCUUGUAAUUAUUCUCCGUGAACGAGGAAUUCCUAGUAAGCGCAAGUCAUCAACUUGCGUUGAUUACGUCCCUGCCCUUUGUACACACCGCCCGUCGCUACUGCCAACUGAGAUGGGUCCUGAAUUGUUAGGAACGCCCGUCAAGGGGUCUACCCGGUCCCUAGUGCGGUGACGAGAAUAACUGUAAAUGGCAUAUCUUGUAGGGAGUAAAAGUCGUAACA
rnacentral:rRNA from 1 species